rnacentral:lncRNA from 1 species
GUAGCUCUCUGCAUUGUUUUUCAAGAAUUAUUCUGUCAUACUUCAUAGACUUUAGCCAUUUUGCUUUAGGAGAGGUGGGCCAAAGCACCUGGGUGUGGGUUGUGAGAGGAGAAGUUGGCUGAAUUAUCUGCAGAAUUGGCUUAGUACUCCUCUUCAUUUUACAAGUAAAAAAAAUCAUGUCUUUUGUCAGACCCUGUUCUUUAGGAUGCCACAGCCCAUAGCCCGCAGCUGGCGGCCUCUGACAAAGAAAUGAAGGAAGCUCAUGACCAGUCUUGUAUUGCCAGCAAGGAGGGCAUGAAGAAAGUGUCACGGAGCAUUUGCCUUUGUGUUGCAAUGGUUGUUGUUGGCAACAUCCCUGAGUUGUACCCACAUUUCAUCUGUUUGAGCUCGUAUUGGGAGAUCAGAGAAGAGCUACAAGGAAGGUAAAGGAUUUGCAUCUGUUAACAAACCUUGGGCUUGUCCUUGGAUUGGUUUCUAGCUACUCUUCUCCAGCUGAGGUUGAGUCAUCGGAAGACGCUCAGUUCUGACCCAGUGGCUCCUCAAGGAAUGGCACCAGCGCUGAGAGAGGAUAGGUUUUUCUCUUGCCAGACUUUUGUGAUGGUUUUGUUUUGAAUAACACGGUCUCCAACUGAUGGAUCUCUUAAGUCUAUUGAUACAAAAAGUACCUCCUUGUAAAUGUUUUUCAGUGACAGGAAAGAUAAUAAUGAACCCAAGAAGCAUAGAAGGAGAGUGUUGGCAAGAGGAAAGGGAAUGGCUGCAGGAGAACAGAGGAGGGCACUUCUUGUAAAACCAAGUUAUGAAUAAUGGAUGCAAAGUGAAGCCUGCAUUUUGGUCUUAUUAGCAUGCACCUUGUCAGAAACUGCCUUCCCAGAGCUGUGAAUCCACUCUCCCUCGCUCUGCGGUCCCAGGUUCAGAACCAGGACCUUCUGCCUUGGCCUCCUACCUGCAUGAGUGGCUGGCCACUCUUAGCAUCCACUGCCCACCCUCUGUGGCCACAGGCGAUUCUGCUAAUCUGAGCCAUCUGUGCAUCUUGAUCACAAGGAAGAUACCACCCUAAGCCUCCAAGGCCAGUUGGCCAAACAGAGAUUUGGCCACUCCUCCAGGAAGAGGUUUCUCACUAUGUCAGACGCAUCUCUGUCAGAAGCCCUUGCAAACAGUCAAACCAUUUUGUACUAUCAUUUCUGAUACGCAGCUCAAGAGGCACCAUGGGUACAAUCACAUCUGACAUAAUAUAGCUGCUAGAACACUUGGCCUGGCAGUUUUAGAAAGGGACUUUCAUGAUUAAAACACUCUUUCUCAGGGCAGCAUCUGCGAUGCCACCUACAUCUUUUGCCUGAGGGAUUCCCAGAGGGUCAAUAUCACCUCCUUUUCCCUUCUUUUGCUAACUCAGUGAAGAAAGAGCAAAGAUGAGUGAGUCAGAGCUUGGGAUAAAUUAUUACACAUAUGUCUGUGCAUGUUUGCAUCUGAGAAUAAAUGAAAGAAAAAUUAACCUG